rnacentral:rRNA from 1 species
CGGGACGGGUGAGUAAUGUCUGGGAAACUGCCUGAUGGAGGGGGAUAACUACUGGAAACGGUAGCUAAUACCGCAUAACGUCGCAAGACCAAAGAGGGGACCUUCGGGCCUCCUUGCCAUCGGAUGUGCCCAGAUGGGAUUAGCUAGUAGGUGGGGUAACGGCUCACCUAGGCGACGAUCCCUAGCUGGUCUGAGAGGAUGACCAGCCACACUGGAACUGAGACACGGUCCAG